rnacentral:lncRNA from 1 species
GAGGAGGAGGAAGGAUUUCCUGCCCCAGACAUCAGAGAGAGCACCAAUCAGUGGGGCACUUAGAAAAGAAAGCAGACCCUUGACUCCAUGAAUCAGACCAUUCAUCAAGAACGUAUGCUGAGGAAAAGUCUGGUGUAAUACCGUCAGCAUUGGAGUGGUCAGUAAACCCCAGGCAAAGAACUCCAGGAAAAUCACCACCACUGCGUGGUACACGCUGGGCUCUCCAAUCCCCUGUCGGCCGGCCCCGUCCCGUAUGACGAUCUUUUUGGCCAGCAGGACGCUGCGGUUGAGCCGCUUCUUCUUCUUCUUCUCGCCGGUCAUGGCGCCGCCAGGCCGCUGCCGUUCCCCGGCCUCCGCGGCUGCCCCAUCCUCCCAGCGGCGGGCAGCGCCGAGCCCGGCCCGGACCCGCGCCCAACGGGUGGGGUCAGAGCGCGGGACCCGGAGCGGAGCGGCGCGGCGGGAGAGGGUGGCGGAUGGAGCGGGGGAAGGCGGGCGGCCCGGCCCGGAGGCCCCUCCCGCCGCACGGCCGCGCCCCCGUCGCCCGGACGAUGGCG